CACCCUCUAUAAAACUUCCACGUCAAGAGAUACAGUGUGGAACAGGCUCUUCAACCAACGAGCCACACGACCCACCAACAUACCCAUUUAACCCCAGCCUAACGACAGGACCUAUUAAGCUAAUAACGAGUACACCUUUGGACUGUGGGAGGAAACCGGAGCACCUGGAGGAAACCCAUGUUAUGCAGGGAGAACAUAUAAACUCCUCGUCAAUGGUGCCAGAAUUGACCUCUGAAACCUGUAACAGCAUCACACUAACCACUACGCUACUGUGACGCCCUUCAUAUCUGAAAAAUGAUUUUGCUUUUUCAUUUGGCAAGGUUUGCAUCCUCUUGCAACAUUAUUUUUUGAAUGUUUUUUAAAAGUUAUCUUUCCUCGUCAAGAAUUUGAUCAGCAAUCUGAAAGAGGUUUAUGUAGGAACUGCCAGAUUAUGAAUGGCACAUUUGACCUCAGCCAACAUUAAUAUCCUACAACCACAUUUACAACCAGUUCAGAAACGGGAGGCAUGUUUAGUCAUAGAACAAUAUAGUACAAACAGACACAUCACACCACUAGUCCACGCCAACCAACAUGCCUCUUCCAAGCUAGUUCCUCUUGCCAAAAUUUGAGCCCGGAACCAUCUAAACCUUUCCUCUCCAUGUUCCUGUCCAACUGUAUUUUCAAUGUUGUUAUUGUGCUUGCCUCAACCACUUCCUCUGGCAGCUCGUUCCUUGUACUGAUCACCGUCUCUGUGGUAAAAGUUUCCCCUCAGCUCUCUUUUAAAUCUUCCACUUCUCACUUUGAAUCCACCGAAUGUCCUCUAGUUUUAGACUCCCCUACCCCAGCAGCUUUUCACCUCAUCCAUGCUCCUCAUGAUUUUAUAAAUCCUCAGCCUCCUUCGCUCUAUGGAAGAAAGUCCUAGCCUGUCCAGUCUCUCUUCAUAAUCUAAGCCCUCCAAUCCCAGUAACAUUCUCACAGAGCCUUUCUGCACCCUCUCCAGUUUAAUGCCAUCCUUCCUAUAGCAGGGCGACCAGAACUGUACACAGUACUCCAACUGUGACCUUACCAAUGUCUCCCAAGAUGUCUUCUAGUUUCUUGUGUGUCUAAGUACCAAAAAUAAUGGUCACAGAGAUUCUACACCUGCAGGAAAUUAUUAUUGUAACUACCAUAUUAUAAAAAUUGUUAUUUACCUAUCUCAGUCAGUUCCUCUGGCAGCUCAUUCCACACACAUACCACCGUUUGGUGGAUAGCAGAGUGGAGAUAUGACUCUACCAAAGGAGGUUUGAGGUUCUUCUUCCCUCCACUUCCUUGCAGGUCACUCUCAGGCAAGGUGUAGCACCUGCUUAGACCACCCCCCCCCCCCACUUCCUACCCCGAUCAGGGUCACGUGAAGCCAUGGGAGGUGGUGGACAGUCGUAUGAGCAGCCGGUGCACAUCACAAGCGCUGGUUAUGUGGCCAUUGACACCAGGCAGUCAAUCUCUGAAGAGUGUUGAUAACGGCAAGAGCCACCCAUCUUGCAAAGACACUGCCCAGAAGAGGGCAAUGGCAAACCACUUCCGCAGAAAAAAUUCUCAAGAAUAAUCAUGGUCAUGGAAAGACCAUGACUGCCCAUGUCAUUCGACACAGCACAAAAUGAUGAUGAUGAUAAUAAUCCUUUGUGUAAAACAUUUGACCCUCAAGUUCCUAAGUCUUUUCCCCUCAUCCUAAAACUAUUUCCUCUAAUUCUUUAUUCCCCAACCCUUGGAAACAGACCGAGUGAUUCCACCUUAUCUCUGCCCUCUCAUGAUUUAUCCACAGGGUUUGAAGGAUUAAAGACUGAGUCAGUCCAAUCUCUUUGGCUGAAGAAAUUUCUCCUCACCUCUCUUCUAUAGGGACGUCUUUCUAUUCUGAGGCUGCACUCUUUGGUCCUAGACAUUCCCACUAUUGAAACCAUCCUCUCCACAUCCGCUCAUUCUUUCAAUAUUCGAUAGUUUUCAAUGAGAUCCUCCUUCAUUCCUCUAAGCUCCAGCGAGUACAAGACUGGAGCCAUCAAGCGUUACUCAGACACGUGGGGGUGUAAACUCAACCUGCGUCAUCAUGAGCACCGGGCUCCACACCAUCAAGGAUGUUAUCAAAAGGCGAUGACUUAAAAAGGUGACAUGCAUCAUUAAGGACCCCCAUCACCCAGGACUGCCCUUUUCUCAUUGCUACCAUCAACGAGGAGGCACAGGAGCCUGAAGAUACACACUCAAUGUUUUUAGGAACAGCUUCUUCCCCUCCGCCAUCAGACUUAGUGAAAAUUAAAACCAUGUACCUUACCUCAAUAUUUUGCUCUCUGCACGACUUAUUUUAUAACUUUUUUAUAUAUUGCACUCUACUGCUGCCACAAAACAACACAUUUCACAACAUAUCUCAGAGAUAAUAAACUUGAUUCUGAUUCUAUAAGACCAUAGGAGCAGAAACAGUCCGUUCAGCCCAUAAAUUCCACUUUGCCAUAAAAUCCUGACUGAUUUAUUGUCCCUGUUAACUCCAUUCUCCCGCUGUCUCCCCAUAACCUUUGAUACUCUUACUAAUCAAGAACCUAUCAAACUCUGCUUGAAAUAUACUCAAUGUCUCCACAGCCAUCUGUGCCAAUGAAUUCCAUAGAUUCACCACCCUCAGUCUGAAGAUAUCCCUCCUUAUCUCCAUUGUAAAGGAACAUUUUUCCAUCCUGAUUCUGAACUGUAUUGCACAGAAACAGGCCACGAAGAAAAUUAGCUAUCUGAGGGUUAAAAAAAAAACUUAGGCCUCUGAAGUUUCUACGCCUCCAGAGAACAGUCUCACACUGAUUCAAAGAUCAAAAACUUCAAAGUAAACUUAUUAACAAAGCACUGAUAUGUCUCCAUAUACAGAACUGAGAUUCAUUUUCCUGCAGGCAUUCACUGUAAAUGUAAAGAAACAACAGAAUGAUUGAAAGGCCAUACACAACAUACAGACCAAUGUGAAAAAGACAACAAAAUGUACAAAUACCAAAAGAAAAAAUAGAAAUCGUAAUUAAUAAAUAAGUAAUAACUAUUGAGAAUAUGAGAUGAAGAAUCGUCAAAAGUUGGUUGUGGGAACAGUUUGGUUUUGGACUGAGUGAAGUUAUCCCCCCUAGUUCAGGAGCCUGUUGGUUGAGGGGUAAUAACUGUUCCUGAACAUGGUGGUGUGAGUCCUGAGGCUCUUGUACCUUCUUCCUGAUGGCAGCAGCGAGAAGAGAGCAAGGCUGGGUGGUGUGGGUCCUGCACCUGCUGGGAGCAGUCAUACACUAAUUCAGAACAAUUUAGUUCAAAAGUGGAAAGUGUGGGAUGAUUGCAGUAGUCUGACUGACAUUCAUUCACCUCUGUUUGAUUCCAGUCCAGUCAUACUGACAGAUGGAACUCCCUCCUCCCGACGAGAAGUGAAAGAUCAGAAGUGAUUUUUUUUGGACUGUUUAAAGGCAUGUCCUAGUGGGAAUGGAAUUCACAGUACACAGUGUCCCUAGUAUUAGUCUUGGUAAAAGCCCAAAAAAUAAAACAAAUGUAAAAUUAUAGUAAUUCUGUGUUAACUCAGCCGGAAACCAUUAGAGCUGCAGGAUAUUUCAAAAAAAUACAAUGGCAUAUUUUAGUGUAGGCAAUGUGCACUAUUAAUUUUGUUCUGAUAACACUAACAGCAAAACAUAUUAAAUAAGGCAAUACACAUGCUAUGAAAAGGUAGUUUGGAGUUUUAAAUAUUUUAUUUAGCAAUACAGCGCGAAGUAGGCCCUUCUGGCCCUGUGAGGCCCACUGCCCAGCAACCAACGGCAACCUCCGAUUUAACCCUACCCUGAUCACGGGGUGACCAAAUAACCCGCCCAGUACAUCUUUGGACUGUGGGAGGAAACCGGAGCACGCAGAGGAAACCCCACGCAUUCCACGGGGAAGGACAUAGAAAAAAGCUUUAAACAUCUGUGAGAUUAAAAAUAAAAGGAUCUGGUGCUUUCCCGGUGAUGUGACAAAUAAACUCUUCUCGGGCUUCCAGCCAGGUACAGGUAAUUGUAAACAAGAACAAGGAAGCCUCUCCUUCUCUUCACGCACUGAUUCAAAGUGACAAAUAUUGCAGUGAACUUCCUCCUUGUAGAGUUAAGUGAAAGAGGAUCUGGUGCUUUUGAGAAGGUGAGGCUUCUUUGUUCUUGGUUAUUAUCAAUACCCGCACCCAGCUAGAGCUUAUUUGUCUCUGAGAUAAUUAUCUCUCCCAGCUGCUCAAGGCCACUGUUAGGUGGAAUUACACCGAUGCAUUGGAUUGGUGCCUUUCUCUGCAGUGUACCUGUAAUCCUCCUGUGCAAACGUAGUUCGUUUAGUUCAGCCAUUCACCUCUACAGGAGCACAGGCCACUCACUGACUGCAGCUCGCCAGAAUUCUUUGCUCUUUUUCAAGUUGUCCCCAGGUGUAGCCCGUCUUCUUGGUGUCAGCUUCAAAGCAGCAUUGCCAGGUGUUCUUUAGUCUGCCUUUCUUUUCCAAAGGAUCUCCACCAAAGAGAUCUCUGCAGAGAUUACUACACCUGGUUUAUUGCUGCUCCCUUUGACGGAGGAAAUUAUAAUGAAAACACGUAACACAGCUUCUACCCCUCCAACAUCAGAUUUUUGAAUGGUCCAAGAACACAUAAACUCACCUACCUUCCCCAUUUCCUAAUUUCACCCAUCACUUUAUGGUUUAUACCCCUUUCCCUCCCUCCACCUUCUGAUUCUGGCUUCCUCCCCCUUCCCUUCCAGUCCUGAUGAAGGCCCUUGGCUGAAAUGUCAACUCUUGUUUCAUAUUCUUAGAUGCUGCCUGAUCUGCUGAGUUCCUCCAGCAUUUUGAGUAUGUUACACCACUGCACUAUUCCUUUAUUAUCCACUACUUCUUUACUCUUCUAAUUUAUAUUCAUAGAAUCAUAGAGCACAGCACAGAAACAGGCCCUUCAGCCCAUCUAAACCAAACUAUUACUCUGCCUAACACGAGGAAAUCUGCAGAUGCUGAAAAUUCAAGCCUAAAACGUCAACUGCUUCUCCCUAUAGAUGCUGCCUGGCCUGCUGCGUUCCACCAGCAUUUUGUGUGUGUUACUAUUACUCUGCCUAGUCCCAUCGACCUGUACCUGGACCAUACCCCUCCCAUCUAUGUACUUAUCCAAAUUUCUCUUAGAUCUUAAUCAAAGCUCAACACUCUAAGUAAAUUUUAUUAUCAGAGUACAUAAUUGUCACCACAUAUCACCUUGAGAUUUGUUUUCUGUGGGCAUAAUCAGCAAAUCUAUAGAAUGGUAACUGUAAACAGGAUCAAUGAAAGAUCAACCAGAGUGCAGAAGACAACAAGCUGUGCAAAUGCAAAUAUAAAUAAACAGCAAUAAGUAGCAAGAACAUGAAGUAACAAGAUAAAGAGUCUUUAAAGUGAGUUCGUUGGUUGGAGAACAUCUCAAUGAAUGGGCAAGUGAGUGUAAUUAUCUCCAUUUGUUCAAGAGCCUGAUGGUUGAGGGGUAGUAACUGUUCUUGAACCUGUGGUGUGAGUCCUGAGGCACCUGUACCUUCUUCCUGAUGGCAGUAGUAAGAAAAAGCAUUGCCUGGGUGGUGAGGAUCUUUGGUGGUGGGUGCUGAUCUCCUAUGGCACGUAGAUGUACUCAAUAGUUGCGAGGGCUCUACCUGUGAUAUACUGCACUGAAUCCACUAUCUUUCAUAGGAUUUUCCAUUCAAAGGCAUUGGUGUUUCCAUACCAGGCCGUGAUGCAGAGUCAAUACACUGUCCACUAUACAUCUAUAGAAGUUUGUCAAAGUUUUUUCAUGACACGUCAAUUCUCUGCAGAUUCUUAAGGAGAAUGUAUACCCACCACUUGUGCUGGCAGCUCAUUCCGCACUCUCACUACCCUCCAAGUGAAGAGGUUCCCCCUCAUGUUCCCCUUAAACGUGUUACCUUUCACCCUUAAUCUAGUCUCACACAAUCACAUUGGGAAAACCCUGCUUGCUUUUACCCUAUCUAUACCUCUCGUAAUUUUAUAUAUCCCAUCAUUUUCCUGAGCUCUAGGGAAUAAUAUCAUAACCUAUUCAACUUUUCCCUGUAACUCAGGUCUUCACGUCCCAGCAACAUUCUUGUAACUUUUCUCUGCACUCUUUCAAUCUUAUUGACAUCUUUCCUGUAGUUAGGUGAUCAGAACUUGACACAAUACUCCAAAUUAGGUGUCACAAACAUCUUAUACAACGUAACAUCUUAACUCUGGUACUGCAGCCACUAAACAACAAAUUUUACAUCAUAUAAGUCAGUGAGAAUAAAACUGAUUCUGAUUCUGAAUUUUUGGGACUGUUCUGAAAUUAUACGGCAGACCAAACUCUAAUAUUCCUUUCAUCUAAUCUUCUUAAAAGCAUAGUUUAAGAACAAGAGGUUGUGAUGAUAAAAAGAAAUGAAAAUCCUUGGGCAACAUAAGGCAUCAAUUUAAAAAAUGAUGACUGACAAGUGAUCAGUUCAGAUGAAGGUUACAGGACCUGAAGAGUUCACUGUUUCUCAGGCACAGAUGCUGCACGACCUGCCAAUGUUUCCAGCAUCUUCUGUUUCUGUUACAGUGAUCCAUAGCUCAAUGCCACCAACUGCUAUUCAAUUGCAAGUUCAAUGAUAUUUGAAACAUUAUUGAUUAAAGUCAAUAUUUCACAUGACUAUAAGCCCUUCAUUCCCGUGAAUGGCCAGCAAUUUGUGUGCAGAUUUUUGAUUUCUAUCAUCUUUUUCUUAAACUUGUUGCCACCGUUGGGGCAUAGGCUGCCAACAGCAGCUGGCCAGAGUCCUCUGCUCUGGGCCAGUCUUUCAGGUUGAGCCCAGAUGAAACUCAACUUUGAAGGUCGCUCCUCUCCCAGGGGUGAGGUCUUUGGAUCUUCUGUUAGCAUUUCAGGGUUUUCACAGGAACAGGUUGCUAGCCCCAUACCCAACCCUCCUCCUUUCACAGCCAGGUUUGGGACUGUCCAUGAUGGAGUAAAUUCUGUAUAAAAUAAAUGCCACUCACAAAAGACAGAAGGCAGCAUAGUCAUCCCUGAAGGACUCUUUUGAUACCCAGCUUACUUUACACAAGACUGGACAAAGUCACAUCUUUGGUGAAAGCUUUACUCUUGUGAAAAGAGCAAUCUGUUCCUGUACUCCACCCAAAAAUAACAGCAGAUAAACCACAGUCACUGUGAUUCUGUGCUCUCUAUGACUUCCUUGGGGAAUAAAAAGUGUUUCAUUCUUAAGGGACAAGCACAAUAUUUAAUUGGAAGUGUUUCAACUUAUCCUCCCCAUUGUCCAUGUGAGUAUUCCAAGAAUUAGUGAGAUUUUGUGCACGCUAUCAACACAGAGUUUAGUUCCUUCUUUAAAAAUGUUUUUUCUUGAAUUUGCCUCAAGCAGUUUUUCCAUAGUAUUUAUCUUUAAAUGAGAGAAAAUUAUAUCUUUGGAGGAAUAAAGGGAUUAUAAUUAGACAGACAGAGAGUCAGCUAGCAAAUUAAGCACCUCUUUGUGCAGGAUUGAAAGAGGCUGCAGAGGCCUGCAGACCCAGUUAGUCCCAUCACAAGCACAGACCUACACACCAUCCAGGACAUCUUCAAAUGGCGAUACCUCAUCCAUCAGUAAGGACCCGCACCAUCCAGGACCUGCCCUCUUCUCUUUGUUACCAGGAGCAGGAGCCCGUAGACACACACUCAGCAUACUUCCACUCUGCCAUCAGAUUUCUGCACGCUAUUUUUUGAGCUAUUUAAUAAUUUGUUGAUUUAUUGAUUGAUGCUUGUAACUUAUAGUUUUCAUGCCUUGCACUGUAAUGCUGCCACAUAACAACACAUUUCAUGACAGUUUCACACAGAUGCAGUCGACCCCGGGUGGUGAAGAGGGAAGAGGUGGGAAAACAAAUGUGGCUUUGCUUAUACAAGGAAAUCUGCAGAUGCUGGAAAUUCAAACAACAACAUACACAAAAUGCUGGUAGAACACAGCAGGCCAGGCAGCAUCUAUAGAGAGAAGCGCUGUCGACGUUUUGGGCCGAGACCCUUCGUCAGGACACCAUUGACAUGCAAUGCUUAUAAUUGCAUAGAAAAGUAAAACAGGGAAAGGGAAGGAGUAUACACUCAGUGGCAUUAGCCACUUUAUUAUGUUCACUUGUACACCUGCCUGUUAAUGUAAAUACCUAACCAGCCAAUAAGGUGGCAGCAACUCAAUGCGUAAAAGGAUGCAGACAUGGUCAAGAGGUUCAGACCAAACAUCAGAAUGGGGAAGAAAUGUGAUCUAAGUAACUUUGACCACAGUGCCAGACGGGGUAGUUUGAUUUUCUCAGAAACAUCUGAUCUCCUGGGACUUUCACACACAGCAGUCUCGAGAAUGGUGUGAAAAGCAAAAAGCAAACAGUAUGCGGCAGUUCUGUGGGUGAAAAUGCCUUGCUAAUGGGAGAGGUCAGAGGAGAACGGCCAAAUUGAUUCAAGCUGACAGAAAGGCGACAGCAACUCAAACAACAGCGGUGUGCAGCAGCUCAUAUCCGAGUGCAGAACACAUCAAACCUGGGAGUGGAUGGGCUACAGCAGCAGAAGAUCACACUAGAUUAUCAAGCUGGAACAUAAGAGAUUAUGCAGAUGCUGGAAAUCCAGAAUAAUGCACACAAAAUGCUGGAGGAACUCAGCCAGCGUCUAUGGAAAGGAAUAAACUGUCAACAUUUCGGGCAGAGACCCUUCAUCAUCUCCAUAGAUGCUGCCUAACCUGCUGAGUUCCUCCAGCAUUCUGUGUGUGUUGUCAAACUGGACCUUGGAUAGAAUCAAGGCAAGAAAAUUUCCCUUCAACUCCAGCUGAGUUUGUUUUCCACAAAGCCUGUUAGAAAUUUCUCAAUAAAUACAAAAUUAAGUUUUGUUUAAUGUUUAACAUUUAAUGUCAUUUCCAGUACACGAGUGCAAAGGGGAAUGACAUAAUUGUUACUCUGGAUCUGAUGAAGCACAAAAACAACACAAUAAGAUAACAAACACAAUAAAUAUAAAUGCAUAAGAUAAUUUAUAUACAUAGGUUAAACGUAUGUCCAUAAAGUGACUGAAAGGAAAUGAUAAAGCCACUUCAGUCCCAGUAACGAUCCCUGUGAAAGUUAAAAAUUGUUGGAAUUCCUAUCAUUGUCUGCGGCUUUGCUCUGAAAUAUUUUUGGAUGUUGGUCAGGGCCAACAGCACCCAAGAAACUUCAGAAGAAUGUAAGCUGCGCUCACUUUGCCACAUGUUGUGUUGGAGACCAGAUGUGUCAGAAUGUGCCCUUUAAAAGCAGAUACACAAAACACUGACAACUUUUAUACCAGUGCCAAUAUAACUUUGUGGUUGAUUGUAACCAAACUUAAUUUUGCCAGACCUGUUACAAAUACUAAUGAAACAUGCUUUUUAUUCAGUCUGCAGACUGUGGCAUUUAGCAUAGAGCUUCUGAAAGUGUGGACAUUCUAGUCAGGGAACUACUUUAUUUAUUUAGAGACACAGCACGUAAUAAGCCCUUCCCGAUGAGCCUGCAUCACCCAAUUACACCCCUACGCUUCUCAUUUUGCACUUAUGAGGCUAAGCACAGCUCCAAUGCCAUAUUCAGGUUUGCUGACGACAGCAUUGUCAUUGGCCGAAUCAAAGGUGGUGAAGAAUCGGCAUGUUGGAGGGAGUUUGGAAACCUGGCUGAGUGGUGCCACAAUAACGACCUCUCAUUCAAUGUAAACAAGACCAAGGAACUAUUAUACACUUCAGGAGGAGGAAACCAGAGGUCCAUGAGCCAGUCCUCAUCGGAGGUGAAGAGGGUCAGCAACUUUAAACUUUUUUGGUGUUAUUAUUUCAGAAGACCAGUCCCGGGCUUAACAAAGAAGACACAGCAGCACCUCUACUUUCUUAGAAGUCUGUAAAAAUUUGGCAAGACAUCGAAAACCUUGACAAACUUCUCUAGAGGUGUGGUGGAGUGUAUAUUGACUGGCUGCAACACAGCCUGGUACGGAAACAUCAAUGCACAUGAAUCGAAAAACUUACGAAAAAGUAGUGGCUACGCCCCAGUCCAUCGUGGGUAAAGUCCUCCUCACCACUGAGCACAUCUACACAGAGUGCCGUCGCAGGAAACCAGCGUCCAUCAUCAGGGACCCCUACUACACAGGCCAUGAUCUCUUCUCACUGCUGCCAUCAGGAAGAAGGUAAAGGAGCCUCAGGACUCACACCACCAGAUUCAGAAACAGUUAUUACCCCUUAACCAUCAGGCUUUCAAACUAGAGGGGAUAACUUCACUGAUCUGAUCCCACAACAUAUGGACUUACUUUCAAGGACUAUUCAUCUCCUGUUCUCAAAAUUUAUUGCUUAUUUAUUUAUUAUUUUUGCCUUCUUUCGUUUCUUUGGAUUUAUUGUGAAUACCUGCAAGAACGUGAAUCUCAGGGUUCUAAAUGGCAACAUAUAUGUUCUUUGAUAAUAAAUCUACUUUGAACUUUGAUGUAACCAAUUAACCUACCAACCUAUCAAUCUUUGGAAUGUGGGAGGAAACCAGAGCGCCAGGAAGAAACCCACACGGUCACGGAGAGAAAAAAAACUCCUUACGGACAGGGGUGGGAAUUGAACCCCAGACACUGAUGCUCUAAGUUAUUGUGCAAAACAUAAUGUUACCAUGCCAUACUCGAUAAUUGCUCUUUUUAAAUGUAUUCAGCCUUUAUGGCCUGUGAGAGUGUGAUGGUGAGCUGUCUUAGCACACGUCAGUCCUGGUGAAGUCAAGCUCAUCGCUGUUCUGGGAUUAGAACGCUGAAGGAUGGACCCACUAGACUGCCAGCGGGAAUGAAGACUCUCGAAUAACAACCAGGAUCUUGGUGAGUGAAGAGACACGAGAUUGUGGGAACCAUCAGUCAGACUGCUGGAGCAUUUAACGAUAAAAUAUGGUGUUGUCUUAGUAUGAGAACAUUAUUUUGUGUUUAUACGUAUUGCACACCAUGUACUGAUAAAAUCUAUUCAAAAGCUUAAGUCUACAGAUGCUGGAAAUCUAAAGCAAAUGCAGAAAAUGAUGAACAGACACAUAAGGUCAGGAGGCAUCUAUCGAGAGAGAAACAGCAUUUCAGAUGAUGGCCUUUCACUUACCAAUAUUAAUUUUGAUCCUGCAGCCCACAGGAUGUCGCCGAUAAUCACCGGCACUGUCCCAAUCCAUCUCCGAGGCGCUAUCUGACCUGAUGAGUUCCAAUGUUGGACUGUUUACUAUAUACAUCCUAUUCACUCAUUCCUUCUUCCUUCAAGAUCUUAAAAUGCUUUUUUUUUGUUGUUAAUGACUGUUCUUUCAAAGUGUGGUAUUGAAAUAAAGAUUUGUACCUGAA